rnacentral:rRNA from 1 species
UACGAAGGGUGCAAACGUUGCUCGGAAUUAUUGGGCGUAAAGCGCACGUAGGCGGCUUGGCAAGUCGGAUGUGAAAUCCCUCGGCUCAACCAAGGAAGUGCAUCCGAAACUGCCGAGCUUGAGUACUUAAGAGGAUCGCGGAAUUCCCGGUGUAGAGGUGAAAUUCGUAGAUAUCGGGAGGAACACCAGUGGCGAAGGCGGCUCUCUGGGCCCUACCUGACGCUGAGACGCGAAAGCGUGGGGAGCGAACCGG